rnacentral:rRNA from 1 species
UACGGAGGGAGCUAGCGUUGUUCGGAAUUACUGGGCGUAAAGCGCGCGUAGGCGGCUUUGUAAGUUAGAGGUGAAAGCCCGGAGCUCAACUCCGGAACUGCCUUUAAAACUGCAUCGCUUGAAUCCAGGAGAGGUGAGUGGAAUUCCGAGUGUAGAGGUGAAAUUCGUAGAUAUUCGGAAGAACACCAGUGGCGAAGGCGGCUCACUGGACUGGUAUUGACGCUGAGACGCGAAAGCGUGGGGAGCAAACAGG